rnacentral:lncRNA from 1 species
GGGACUACAGGCACCUGCAACCACACCCGGCUAAUUUUUUGUAUUUUUAGUAGAGACGGGGUUUCACUGUGUUAGCCAGGAUGGUCUCCAUCUCCUGACCUCGUGAUCCGCCCGCCUCGGCCUCCCAAAGUGCUGGGAUUACAGGCAUGAGCCACAGUGCCCAGCCUAUUAAAUCUCUUUUUAAGGUGGAAUAUAAUUAACAAGCCAACAUCAGUCUCCAGAGUGAAUCCAAGGAGAGGACCCAAGACAUUCAUGUUCUGUGAUGUGGUGACAUGUUACCUGUCAUCUCUGAUGCACAACUCCUAAAGUGUUUGCAUCUGGGGCAGUUGUACAGAUUGCAGAAGCUAAUACUCAAGAUGUUCUCCAAGGCCAACUACUCAUCAGUUUAUUCAUGUUUCUGGGAUUGGAUUCAUGAACUCAUCCUUUGAACUAUUUCAACAAGCUUUUUCAUGUAACUAAUCUGCGGAAGGUAGAAAGGGUAAAACUGUUGGGUGCUAAAAUGACAACUGGUUCA